rnacentral:rRNA from 1 species
UUGGGAAUAUUGGACAAUGGGGGAAACCCUGAUCCAGCAAUGCCGCGUGAGUGAUGAAGGCUCUCGGGUCGUAAAGCUCUUUAAGCAGGGAAAAAGGGAAACUUGAUGGUACCUGCAGAAUAAGCACCGGCUAACUCUGUGCCAGCAGCCGCGGUAAUACAGAGGGUGCAAGCGUUGUUCGGAAUCAUUGGGCGUAAAGCGCGUGUAGGCGGUCUUCUAAGUCUGGUGUGAAAGCCCAGGGCUUAACCCUGGAAGUGCACUGGAUACUGGAAGACUAGAGGGCGAGAGGGGAAAGCGGAAUUCCUGGUGUAGGGGUGAAAUCCGUAGAUAUCAGGAGGAACAUCGGUGGCGAAGGCGGCUUUCUGGCUCGUUUCUGACGCUCAGACGCGAAAGCGUGGGUAGCAAACAGG